ACUCCGGUUGAUCCUGCCGGACCCGACCGCUAUCGGGGUAGGGCUAAGCCAUGGGAGUCGAACGCCCCGCCGCUGCGGGGCGUGGCGGACGGCUGAGUAACACGUGGCUAACCUACCCUCGGGACGGGGAUAACCCCUCGGGAAACUGGGGCUAAUCCCCGAUAGGCGGGGGGUGCCUGGAAGGGUCCUCCGCCGAAAGGGGCCGCGGGGGGUUAUCGCCCGCGGUCCGCCCGAGGAUGGGGCUGCGGCCCAUCACGGUAGUUGGCGGGGUAAUGGCCCGCCAAGCCUACGACGGGUAGGGGCCGUGAGAGCGGGAGCCCCCAGAUGGGCACUGAGACAAGGGCCCAGGCCCUACGGGGCGCACCAGGCGCGAAAACUCCGCAAUGCGGGCAACCGUGACGGGGCUACCCCGAGUGCCCCCCUUGGGGGGGCUUUUCCCCGCUGUAAGUAGGCGGGGGAAUAAGCGGGGGGCAAGACUGGUGUCAGCCGCCGCGGUAAUACCAGCCCCGCGAGCGGUCGGGGUGCUUACUGGGCCUAAAGCGCCCGUAGCCGGCUCGACAAGUCCCCGCCUAAAGCCCCGGGCUCAACCCGGGGAGUGGCGGGGAUACUGUCGGGCUAGGGGGCGGGAGAGGCCGAGGGUACUCCCGGGGUAGGGGCGAAAUCCAUUAAUCCCGGGAGGACCACCAGUGGCGAAGGCGCUCGGCUGGAACGCGCCCGACGGUGAGGGGCGAAAGCCGGGGGAGCGAACCGGAUUAGAUACCCGGGUAGUCCCGGCUGUAAACGAUGCGGGCUAGGUGUUGGGCGGGCGUGCGAGCCCGCCCAGUGCCGCAGGGAAGCCGUUAAGCCCGCCGCCUGGGGAGUACGGCCGCAAGGCUGAAAGGUCCGCGGGAGGGGUCUUCU
rnacentral:rRNA from 1 species